rnacentral:tRNA from 1 species
AGUCCUGUACGAAUCGAACUGCAAAUUCGGGCAAGCACCUUGAAGUGCCGGGACU